GGUUAAGCGACUAAGCGUACACGGUGGAUGCCUAGGCAAUCAGAGGCGAUGAAGGACGUGCUAAUCUGCGAUAAGCGUCGGUAAGGUGAUAUGAACCGUUACAACCGACGAUUUCCGAAUGGGGAAACCCAGUGCAAUUCGUUGCACUAUCGUUUGAUGAAUACAUAGUCAAACGAAGCGAACCGGGGAACUGAAACAUCUCAGUACCCCGAGGAAAAGAAAUCAACCGAGAUUCCCCUAGUAGCGGCGAGCGAACGGGGAGCAGCCCAGAGUCUUAAUCAGCAUUAGCAUCAGGAGAACGGUCUGGAAAGUCCGGCAGUAAAGGGUGAUAGCCCCGUAUCCGAAGGUGUUAGUGUUGUGAACUCGACGAGUAGGGCGGGACACGUGUUAUCCUGUCUGAAUAUGGGGGACCAUCCUCCAAGGCUAAAUACUCCUGAUUGACCGAUAGUGAACCAGUACCGUGAGGGAAAGGCGAAAAGAACCCCGGCGAGGGGAGUGAAAUAGAACCUGAAACCGUGUACGUACAAGCAGUGGGAGCCAUCACCAAGUGCCUCGGCAAUUGAGUGACGGUGUAAACCAUCACAAUAAUAAAGCAGGAUUAAGAUUGCCAUUUUAAGCUGCAGCGCAGUGGACAUCGGUCCAUGAGCAGCGAAAGUUAAAAACGGCAAGAUUGGCCGCAAACCAAGCGGGACAUUUGAGGAUGGGGUGACUGCGUACCUUUGUAUAAUGGUCAGCGACUUAUAUUCUGUAGCAAGGUUAACCGAAUAGGGAGCCGUAGGGAAACCGAGUCUUAACUGGGCGAAUAAGUUGCAGGGUAUAGACCGAAACCCGGUGAUCAGCCAUGGGCAGGUUGAAGGUUGGGUAACACUAACUGGAGGACCGAACCGACUAAUGUUGAAAAAUUAGCGGAUGACUUGUGGCUGGGGUGAAAGGCCAAUCAAACCGGGAGAUAGCUGGUUCUCCCGAAAGCUAUUAGGUAGCGCCCGUGAACUCAUCUGGGGUAGAGCACUGUUUCGACUAGGGGGUCAUCCGACUUACCAACUCGAUGCAAACUACGAAUGAAGAAUGUUAUCACGGGAGACACACGGCGGGUGCUAACGUUCGUCGAAGAGGAAACAAACCAGACCGCCAGCUAAGGUCCCAAAGUCAUAGUUAAGUGG
rnacentral:rRNA from 1 species